UGGGUAACCUGCCCUUGACUCUGGGAUAACCCCAGGAAACCGGAGCUAAUACCGGAUACGAACCACCCAGGCAUCUAGGUGGUUGGAAAGAACUUCGGUCAAGGAUGGGCUCGCGGCCUAUCAGCUUGUUGGUGAGGUAACGGCCCACCAAGGCGACGACGGGUAGCCGGCCUGAGAGGGCGACCGGCCACACUGGGACUGAGACACGGCCCAGACUCCUACGGGAGGCAG
rnacentral:rRNA from 1 species